GCUGUCGUCCAAUUCGUUUCUCGCUGUUUACGCUUUUCUCCGCCUCGGACGGAGGAUCCGCCAUCACGAAUGUCUGGUAAGUAAUAUGAAUUCCGUUGUAUCUUUGCCCGGCACCCCGUAUAGUAGGAGUGUUAGUUACUAAAUCUCUGUUGUUAAGUUUCUUUACAGAACACACGAAUAACUCUGUAUAUUAAUUACUUUUCUUGUUUCAUUUUCCUCUUGGUUAAAUAUUGUGUUGCGCAAAUCCUCACUCCCCCCCCCCCCCCCCGGGUGUCUAGAUUAUAUCCGUGCAAAUUAAGUUAGGAUACCUACAUGUUUUUUUUUUUCAGUUUUACUCUCUUUUUCUUGCUGCGACUACCCGACGUAUCUCUUAGUUUUAGAUUUAAUGCUUUUAUGUUCGAACCAGGAAUCCCCUUGCCAAACGCGUUCCAUUCGUUGGUCACUUGUAUCCCACCUUUGGUGGAUGCACCUCGCCAUGUUGAUUUAUAGAUACGCCGCAUAGCUGGAAUCAAACAUGGAGUAGAGCGAUAUGGCAUCCCAUCUUCCAAUCGGUAAUUGGUACGUUCGGCGGAGUAAUCCAUGCAAGAGAUUCCAAAAAAGGUUACAUCAAUCGUCAAGCUACGUGGCGUCCAUGCUAACAUAAUCUCGUACAUAUAAGUAUAUAUAUAUGAAUAUACAUUAUACAAACAUAUAUCUAUAGGGGGAACUAUUGAGCUUAAUAUAAAAGGCUGCAUCAUGUCCACUUUUUCUCUAGUGUAUAGUUUGUUUUUGCUCUUUGUUUUCAGAACAUCAACC